GACGAACGCUGGCGGCGUGCCUAAUACAUGCCAGUCGAACGCUGAAGGAAGGAGCUUGCUCUUUCUGGAUGAGUUGCGAACGGGUGAGUAACGCGUAGGUAACCUGCCUGGUAGCGGGGGAUAACUAUUGGAAACGAUAGCUAAUACCGCAUAAAAUUGAUUAUUGCAUGAUAGUCAAUUAAAAGGUGCAACUGCACCACUACCAGAUGGACCUGCGUCGUAUUUGCUAGUUGGUGGGGUAACGGCUCACCAAGGCGACGAUACAUAGCCCGACUGAGGAGGUGGUCAGCCACACUGGGACUGAGACACGGCCCAGGCGCCUUCGGGGUGCAACAGGAAGGAAUCUUCGGCAAUGGGCGGAAGUCUGGCCGGGCGACGCCGCGGGGGGGAAGAAGGUUUUCGGGUCGGAAAGCUCUGUUGUAAGGGAAGAACGAGUGUGGGAGUGGAAAGUUCACACUGUGACGGUAUCUUAUCAGAAAGGGACGGCUAACUACGUG
rnacentral:rRNA from 1 species